GCCUUUGUGGCGUAGUGGUCAGCACGCUCGACGCGUAACCGAGAGAUCCCUGGUUCGCUUCCCGGCGAAGGUG
rnacentral:tRNA from 1 species